GGAAAACAUUCCAUAUCAAAACCUGAACUGGGAGCACUUGGGACCCCUUUGCCUCUGCUUGGAUCUUCACAGCCAUGGUUCUCCCAGCAAGGACUCCUUUAUUCCUGGGCCCACCUUGGAUAAGGGAGAUUCCAAGGAGGUAUUUCUCCACUCGACUACUUUAUUUUAAAAUAUCCGUCAGUUCAGAGUCUUGUUCUGUCUUCCCUUUCUCCAGGGCUCCCCCACUUCCUCUCUUCCCAGCAUGCCUGCCACCCACCAUAAGUUAGGAGUGGAUGACAAGACAAUGUUCCCGAAAGAUAGCAGGUCACCCUCUGCUCAGCCAGAGGGCAGGAAGAGCAUCCAGUCAACAUCCUCGGGUUUACAGGAGUGGCCUGGCUGGUGAGGCCAAGAAAAGCUUUUUAAGUGGCGAAGAAAUGCCAUGACGUUCCUGGUUCCUGAAUCCUCCCAUCCCCACCUCAGCUCAUUUGGAGUGAACCUCAUGCCCUUGCCCAAGCCUCCCUGAAAACCAUAACAUCACAUUCAAGUAGGGUCUCCUGACUCACUGGCUGGACACUGGUAGCCACCACAGGGAUGUGUGCUCUCUGUAUCUUGCUGAGCAAUGUGGUUUUACACACAUGCUCUUUACGAAUCACAAAGCCAUGUCUAAGAAAGGAAUGAUUACAUCUUGCAGCUGAGGAAACUGAGGCCCUGUAGCCAUACAUCUUGGCCAGGUCACGUGCUGCACACGAUGUCAUCAAGUGGGACAGGGCUACCUGGGCCUAUGGAUUCUAUAGGUCUCCAGCAAACAGGAGAGGAGGUUCACUGCCUCAGCUCAGACAUACCCCCUCACCAUCGUCAAACCAGGCCUUCAGGGUGGGCCACACAACAUGGAAGGCAUUCAAAGGAAAAGCUUUUUAAGGUUAAAAGGUAUUUGUACCCAUGGGACCCCGAACUCUGAUAGCAUGACCUCAGAACACCUGAUUGACAGACUGAGAUAUGGGGAGAAUCUGCAGACAUGUUGAGAGCUUGGGGGGGUUGCUUGGUGAGGAUGUAAUGAAGGCUAGGAGCACUUAGGGAACAGACUGAGAACAGGUGAAGUCACACUGAGGGCUGGGAAGUGUAUGCUAAUGGAUGGACAGGGCCUAGUGAGAGAAAACUGAGGGCUGGGGAGGGCCUGAGGCAUGUAGAGAGCUGGAGUGUCUAGUGGGGAUAUGCUGAGGUCUUGAAUGGCUUUAGGGGAAAUGCUGAAGACUAGGGAGAGCUUAUAAGCUUUGCUGAAG
rnacentral:lncRNA from 1 species